rnacentral:rRNA from 1 species
AUUGAACGCUGGCGGCAGGCCUAACACAUGCAAGUCGAACGAGUGGCGGACGGGUGAGUAAUGUCUGGGCAUCUGCCUGAUGGAGGGGGAUAACUACUGGACACGGUAGCUAAUACCGCAUACCAUCGGAUGUACCCAUAUGGGAUUAGCUAGUAGGUGGGGUAAGGGCUCACCUAGGCGACGAUCCCUAGCUGGUCUGAGGGGAUGAUCAGCCACACUGGAACUGAGACACGGUCCAGACUCCUACGGGAGGCAGCAGUGGGGAAUAUUGCACAAUGGGCGCAAGCCUGAUGCAGCCAUGCCGCGUGUAUGAAGAAGGCCUUCGGGUUGUAAAGUACUUUCAGUGGGGAGGCGUUACCCGCAGAAGAAGCACCGGCUAACUCCGUGCCAGCAGCCGCGGUAAUUC